rnacentral:rRNA from 1 species
UACGAAGGGGGCUAGCGUUGUUCGGAUUUACUGGGCGUAAAGCGCACGUAGGCGGAUUGUUAAGUGAGAGGUGAAAAUCCCGGAGCUCAACUCCGGAACUGCCUUUCAUACUGGCAAUCUAGAGUCCGGAAGAGGUGAGUGGAACUCCUAGUGUAGAGGUGAAAUUCGUAGAUAUUCGCAAGAACACCAACGGCGAAGGCAGCUCGCUGGGACGGUACUGACGCUGAGACGCGAAAGCGUGGGGAGCGAACAGG